rnacentral:lncRNA from 1 species
AGUAGGCUACACAGUGGAUACACUUUUUGACAGGCAUGAAUGAUGCUCAACAAUGUCAGCUGCCAAACAAGUCCUGCAAGUUUGAACCACCUAGCCUGUAAAUGGGUUAGAACCACACUUGUUGGCCAAUAUUCAAGUCUCAUUCUUUUCCAUCAUACAAAACACAUCUGCCCAGAAGUUGUUCAUCUUCAGUUUUCAGAAAGCGAGGAGGAGAAGGUAUUCGUGCAUCAUUUCUCAUUUGAGAAGGCUACAAUCCGCAGGUCCUAGCUGACAACGUCUCGGAUAUAGGACAAUUUAUUCUCAGGGACAUCACAAAUAUGGAGCCUCUGAUGAUUCUCCUUCUGCUAGCAGGACUAGUAGGGAAGACAUCAGCGACAAACACAACGGCAAUGGCUACAAAACCUAGAGAAGCUAGGUCUAUUUGCAAGCUGCACAGCCGUCUCCCAGCAAUUGCCUCUCUUCAUCUCUCCCGUGAAGCUUUUCUUUUGGUGUCCACAUGGUCCUAAAUCUAGUUGGCAGACACUACUAAACAGCCUACCCGUCCGCUUUGAGGCAUCCGCAUAGUCCUAAAGCACACAAGGCACGUUUUUGUAUUACAGUGCAGUGAUAGAACUGGGGGGACAAAAAUGCUAUUUCAGAAUGUGUGUGUGUGGGGGGGGG